CCAGACUCCUACGGGAGGCAGCAGUGAGGAAUAUUGGUCAAUGGUCGGGAGACUGAACCAGUCAAGCCGCGUGAGGGAGGAAGGUACAGAGUAUCGUAAACCUCUUUUGUCAGGGAACAAAGGCGGGGACGUGUCCCCGGAUGAGUGUACCUGAAGAAAAAGCAUCGGCUAACUCCGUGCCAGCAGCCGCGGUAAUACGGAGGAUGCGAGCGUUAUCCGGAUUUAUUGGGUUUAAAGGGUGCGCAGGCGGUGUUAUAAGGCGGGGGUAAAACCCGGGGCCCCAACCCCAGCCCGCCGUUGAAACUGGCAGUCUCGAGUUGGAGAGAAGUAUGCGGAAUGCGCGGUGUAGCGGUGAAAUGCAUAGAUAUCGCGCAGAACUCCGAUUGCGAAGGCAGCAUGCCGGCUCCACACUGGCGCUGAGGCACGAAAGCGUGGGUAUCGAACAGGAUUAGAUACCCCAGUA
rnacentral:rRNA from 1 species